GGAGUUGUGGUUCAGUGGUAGAAUUCUUGCCUUCCUUGCAGGAGACCUGGUAUUGACUCCUGGCAACUGCA
rnacentral:tRNA from 1 species